rnacentral:lncRNA from 1 species
GGUUCUUGCAUGGAAACGUUCAGGAUUCUUUCAAAGUUAGAGAACCAUAACUUUGUUUUUUACUCCUUGGUUCUUUUAUUCAUGUGAUUUAGCCUAGCAAGACUAAGUCACACAUGCUAACAGCCAGCUCAGAAUAGAUAUAAUGAUUUUAGAUCAAAACUCUGUGCAGAAAAAAAAAAAUCAUGGACUGAAAUAGGGGAUAUCAGGGCCAAGCAAACUCAGAUGCCUUAAGGAAAUAGCAAAAAUGGGUUCUUCCCUCUUCUGUGGACGGCCAGCGUGUUACAGCACCCGUGUGCAUGUGAGAUCUCUGCCUUUUAUUUUCAGUUACCCCCAAGUCUCCUAACCAAAGCGUCUCCUCCCUGAUGAGGGUGAUCACUGGCUACAAGCCUGGGGCUUCCACACCCAAGGUCUGGGAAGCUGCUCUUUCCGGAAGGGUGGUAGAGACCCUGGGAACCAGACCAGGCGGGCUCACAAAGUAUGAAGAGAAUGUCGGGAGAGGAAGUGGUGGCUCUGAGUCAGCACGAGUCAUCUGGUUCCAGUGACAAUGAAGACUGAGGUGUCUGCUUUGCAGUUUUUUUUUUUCUUUUCUUGUCUUUUUUUUUUUUUUUCCUAAUCAUGUGGACAUCUCUGAGAAUGAGGGGACUGGGUGACUUUGCAGUGUCUGCUUUCUAAGUUUCAAAGUGACUUUCCAGGCAAGCUGCGCAUAUCUUGGGAUCUUCACAGCACAGUGGCUGGGAAGGCAGGCGGACCCGUCUAUCAGCUUCUCCCUGGUGGGAUUCUUGCGGGGGCAGGGAUCGAGUCAAACCUUGGAAAUGACGUCAUUCUGAACUCAUCUGCCUUUAUCCAGAAGACUACCAAAGCAAACCAGAGGACCAGAGAACAGCAGCUGCUCUGGACAAAGAGGGGAGGACACCCACACCCACAUACCAAGUUCUGGUUGACUUCUACAGCAGAAGAAGCAGGAGACACAAGAAGACUCAGAGGGACUGAAAUAUAAGAAGAUCGAUGCCAGAUGUUGUUGUGAUGACAACCUGUUGGGUUGAAGGACCCCAGGAAGACACAGUCCAGAUUCACAGGGACAGAGCCACUCACCUAUUGUCACAUGCAGCACAGAAUAAUGCAGAGGCAUGGCAUCAUAACAAUUCCUGAAUGGUGCUUCUCAGAAGAUGGUACUUCUUGGGGUCUGGUACCUGGACUAGUGAGGCUUCUCAGGGGAUGGGACCCCAACCCAGAAUGACAACAUCACCUGAUAACUUCAUCUUCAUCAUUAUCAUCAUCAUCAUCAUUGUUGUUAUUCCUUUUGUUUUGUUUUGAGAUUGUAAUAAAAUUAUAUCAUUUCUCCAUUGCCCUCCCUCCCUCCAAACCCUGUGAUUUACCUCUCCUUGCUCUCUCAAAUUCAUAGCCCCUUUCCCCCCACAAAUUGCUGUUAUACAUAUAUACGUACAUACACAUAUUUCUAAACACACAAAAACAACCUGCUCAGCCUGGAUAAUGUUACUUGUAUGUAUGUUUUCAGACCUGUCCAUUUGGCAUCGGCUGACCAGUCGGUGUGCCUCUCCCUGGGGAAGGGUUGUUCUUCCUGCUCUUUGCUUUCUGUAGUUGCCUGUAGUUCUUUGUGUAGGGUUGAGGUCUUGUGGGCCAAGAUCCAAAACUUCACUAGCCCUGAGUAGUUAGCCAGGUUUCGAGUACUGGACAAAGUUUUUCUCUUGUUGGGGAAAUUCUUUGAAACACACUUUCUCUGGGACCUUCCCAGAAUCGCCAAAUCACGCAGUCAGAGAGCAGGGCCCAUGGCUCUAUUUUAACAAGAUCUGCAUGCUUGUGUUGCGUGUGCAAACAUUUAUCCUCAGUGUCUAGUGCUUAGACACUGUUUACUGUGGUUAAGUGGCAUGGACUGAUAGCAUGAGGAUGGCCUGAGAAUAGGUGAAUAAUUGGUCACACCAGAGAGGGAGGGGGGAGGGGGAGAGAGGGGGAAGGGGAAGGGGAGGGGGAGAGGGAAAGGGAGGUGGGGGGAGGAAGAGGAGGAGGAGAAAAGGGAUCCAAUCCGGACCCCUCACCUCUUAAGGCCCCACUUGGGUUAAACAGUAGCCAGGCACACAGGACACAGAAGACAGAGGGGACAGAGAAAUAGAAAAGUGCCAACACUUUACCAACUGAGUUGCCUUCUCCUUAGCCUAAGAAAAUAUUUUAAAACAAAACAAAACAACCCAGCCACUUUCUAAGUAUACAAAAAACUCAAUGAGUAACAGUAAACAUAGGUUAAUAAGUAGUAUUAAUAUUUUCUAUGGAGAUAUCAGGUCUUUGAGAGGUAGCUCAGCUUCCGGGUUCACCCAUUCACUCAUUCAGUCCAGCAUGAAGCUGGCAUGGGACGUCCAGCCUGGAAAUAAGUAAGUCUUGGAUGAGCCAAAGGCUGGAGCAAGAGAGGACUCGCUCCCAUCCCAACAAUGAAGGGAUGCAGGGCAGAGUGGUGGAAGGGCAGAGAUGCUCCCAAAGACAGGGUAAAGGGAGCCUCACCCCACAUUCUGCCCUUAGUUUGGGCUGGAAAUGUCCCUAGAAGAACAGAGAAACCGAGGAGGGAUCAUGAGCUAGUCCUCAGCCCAUCGCCCGUGCUUUGAGCUCUCUCUUGACACAGCAAGCAAGACUGAUUAUAGACAAAUGUCCGUUCUUGCUUUCUGCAUCCAGGGCCUGAGAGAUCUCAGACGCCCAUGCUUGCUCAGGAAGCUGUUUCUGACAUUGGCCUGUUUGGUGACCAGAAACUGAUGCUGUUUCUCCACGUGGCCUACAGCUGGCCAGUUGGCAGUGGUACGGCUGAGCCUCAGAAUACUGACAAUGGCUGUUUUCAUCCCAUGAGCAGAUUGGUGUCAAGGCUGGAAAGAAAGAAAGAUUUUUCACUCAACUCCCACUCUUCCCAAACAAGCCAACAAGAAGGCGAGGUGUUUGGAGGCCUCCCACACCCUAUACGUGACCCUUUUUGUAUUUGCUCAAGGUGGUAGUACCACAGUUAGAACCUUUGGAGUUUUUUUGGUAUCCUUUUAGUCUGUGUUAAUGUGUCUCUGCUGUACUUAAAUUCUCUUCAAAAUGACCUCCACAUCGAUACAUUUCUUGGAAUUCACAUGUGAGUAAGAAAAGAUAAGAUAGGCUGGCAAGAUGGUUCAGUGGUUAAGAGCGCGGACUGCUCUUCCGAAGGUCCUGAGUUCAAAUCCCAGCAACCACAUGGUGGCUCACAACUAUCUGUAAUGAGAUCUGAUGCCCUCUUCUGGAGUGUCUGAAGACAGCUACAGUGUACUUACAUUAAAUAAAUAAAUAAAUCUU